CGGACGGGUGAGUAACACGUGGAUAACCUACCUAUAAGACUGGGAUAACUUCGGGAAACCGGAGCUAAUACCGGAUAAUAUAUUGAACCGCAUGGUUCAAUAGUGAAAGACGGUUUUGCUGUCACUUAUAGAUGGAUCCGCGCUGCAUUAGCUAGUUGGUAAGGUAACGGCUUACCAAGGCAACGAUGCGUAGCCGACCCGAGAGGGUGAUCGGCCACACUGGAACUGAGACACGGUCCAGACUCCUACGGGAGGCAGCAGGC
rnacentral:rRNA from 1 species